rnacentral:rRNA from 1 species
CACUCCUGCGGGAGGCAGCAGUGGGGAAUUUUGGACAAUGGGCGAAAGCCUGAUCCAGCAAUGCCGCGUGAGUGAAGAAGGCCUUCGGGUUGUAAAGCUCUUUUGUCAGGGAAGAAACGGUGAGAGCUAAUAUCUCUUGCUAAUGACGGUACCUGAAGAAUAAGCACCGGCUAACUACGUGCCAGCAGCCGCGGUAAUACGUAGGGUGCAAGCGUUAAUCGGAAUUACUGGGCGUAAAGCGUGCGCAGGCGGUUUUGUAAGUCUGAUGUGAAAUCCCCGGGCUCAACCUGGGAAUUGCAUUGGAGACUGCAAGGCUAGAAUCUGGCAGAGGGGGGUAGAAUUCCACGUGUAGCAGUGAAAUGCGUAGAUAUGUGGAGGAACACCGAUGGCGAAGGCAGCCCCCUGGGUCAAGAUUGACGCUCAUGCACGAAAGCGUGGGGAGCAAACAGGAUUAGAAACCCUAGUAGUCCC